rnacentral:antisense_RNA from 1 species
CUCAGAUGCUUAAGUCCCUUAUAUGAAAGUGGUACACUGACAAGAAUUAAAGAUCACAGCCUCUUGCCACUUCAAGUCAAGUUUUGUGACAAACAGGUUCCUAAAAAGCUUUUGGUUGUCAGAGCUUGGUAGAUUUCAGAGUCAUGGGUAAGGACUGUGGGUGUGGAUGUAUCCAUGCUCAGCCCAGUGCCCGACAGACAGCAUCCUCCGCGUGGCCAGAUGAGUGGCUCUUAUGGAAACUCAGAGCAGAGCUUCUCUUGCCACCUCGGGCUACUGCAAGAAUGUUCUGGCACUGCAGUGCCACAUGUACCUCCCCUCUUAAAAACUGGGACUUUUCUUGGUGCCAUAGAGCUCAGAGAAAACUAGAAAUGAGAGACUGUCAAAACUGGCCUGGCCCUGUAGAAGCAUUUUUUUUUGGAUGGACUCAAUAGUAAGCAUAUGUUAAAAAUGUAAACUUACAAGGCAGGUUUCUAUGAAUAAACUACCAAUUUUAGUGUUUUAUCCACAGAAGA